rnacentral:ncRNA from 1 species
CCGUCUCUCAGGUUCUAGCACGGCCCUCGGAAUGGCUAGAACUUUUGGGUAUACGGAUUUAAU